GAUGAACGCUGGCGGCGUGCCUAAUACAUGCAAGUCGAGCGAACAGACGAGGAGCUUGCUCCUCUGACGUUAGCGGCGGACGGGUGAGUAACACGUGGAUAACCUACCUAUAAGACUGGGAUAACUUCGGGAAACCGGAGCUAAUACCGGAUAAUAUAUUGAACCGCAUGGUUCAAUAGUGAAAGACGGUUUUGCUGUCACUUAUAGAUGGAUCCGCGCCGCAUUAGCUAGUUGGUAAGGUAACGGCUUACCAAGGCGACGAUGCGUAGCCGACCUGAGAGGGGGGUCGGCCAACAGGGAACUGGGAAACGGUCCAGACUCCUACGGGAGGCAGCAGUAGGGAAUCUUCCGCAAUGGGCGAAAGCCUGACGGAGCAACGCCGCGUGAGUGAUGAAGGUCUUCGGAUCGUAAAACUCUGUUAUUAGGGAAGAACAAAUGUGUAAGUAACUAUGCACGUCUUGACGGUACCUAAUCAGAAAGCCACGGCUAACUACGUG
rnacentral:rRNA from 1 species